GGCGUAAAGCGCACGCAGGCGGUUUGUUAAGUCAGAUGUGAAAUCCCCGAGCUUAACUUGGGAACUGCAUUUGAAACUGGCAAGCUAGAGUCUUGUAGAGGGGGGUAGAAUUCCAGGUGUAGCGGUGAAAUGCGUAGAGAUCUGGAGGAAUACCGGUGGCGAAGGCGGCCCCCUGGACAAAGACUGACGCUCAGGUGCGAAAGCGUGGGGAGCAAACAGGAUUAGAUACCCUGGUAGUCCACGCUGUAAACGAUGUCGACUUGGAGGUUGUGCCCUUGAGGCGUGGCUUCCGGAGCUAACGCGUUAAGUCGACCGCCUGGGGAGUACGGCCGCAAGGUUAAAACUCAAAUGAAUUGACGGGGGCCCGCACAAGCGGUGGAGCAUGUGGUUUAAUUCGAUGCAACGCGAAGAACCUUACCUACUCUUGACAUCCACAGAACUUUCCAGAGAUGGCUUAGUGCCUUCGGGAACUGUGAGACAGGUGCUGCAUGGCUGUCGUCAGCUCGUGUUGUGAAAUGUUGGGUUAAGUCCCGCAACGAGCGCAACCCUUAUCCUUUGUUGCCAGCACGUCAUGGUGGGAACUCAAAGGAGACUGCCGGUGAUAAACCGGAGGAAGGUGGGGAUGACGUCAAGUCAUCGUGGCCCUUACGAGUAGGGCUACACACGUGCUACAAUGGCAUAUACAAAGAGAAGCGAACUCGCGAGAGCAAGCGGACCUCAUAAAGUAUGUCGUAGUCCGGAUCGGAGUCUGCAACUCGACUCCGUGAAGUCGGAAUCGCUAGUAAUCGUAGAUCAGAAUGCUACGGUGAAUACGUUCCCGGGCCUUGUACACACCGCCCGUCACACCAUGGGAGUGGGUUGCAAAAGAAGUAGGUAGCUUAACCUUCGGGAGGGCGCUUACCACUUU
rnacentral:rRNA from 1 species